rnacentral:rRNA from 1 species
GAUGAACGCUGGCGGCGUGCUUAACACAUGCAAGUCGAACGGUGAAGGCGGAGCUUGCUCUGCUGGAUCAGUGGCGAACGGGUGAGUAACACGUGAGCAAUCUGCCCCUGACUCUGGGAUAAGCGCUGGAAACGGCGUCUAAUACUGGAUACGAGCUGCGAAGGCAUCUUCAGCAGCUGGAAAGAACUUCGGUCAGGGAUGAGCUCGCGGCCUAUCAGCUUGUUGGUGAGGUAACGGCUCACCAAGGCGUCGACGGGUAGCCGGCCUGAGAGGGUGACCGGCCACACUGGGACUGAGACACGGCCCAGACUCCUACGGGAGGCAGCAGGGGGGAAUAUUGCACAAUGGGCGAAAGCCUGAUGCAGCAACGCCGCGUGAGGGACGACGGCCUUCGGGUUGUAAACCUCUUUUAGCAGGGAAGAAGCGAAAGUGACGGUACCUGCAGAAAAAGCGCCGGCUAACUACG